UACGUAGGGGGCAAGCGUUAUCCGGAUUUACUGGGUGUAAAGGGGGCGCAGACGGCGAUGCAAGCCAGGAGUGAAAGCCCGGGGCCCAACCCCGGGACUGCUCUGGAAACUGCAUGGCUGGAGUACAGGAGGGGCAGGCGGAAUUCCUAGUGUAGCGGUGAAAUGCGUAGAUAUUAGGAGGAACACCGGUGGCGAAGGCGGCCUGCUGGACUGUGACUGACGUUGAGGCCCGAAGGCGUGGGGAGCAAACAGG
rnacentral:rRNA from 1 species